rnacentral:lncRNA from 1 species
AUAAUUCAUUUGAAAAUCUCAUUGUUGAUCAUUUUCAUAUGAAAAAUUAUUUUUCAUUUCUGAGAGAGGUUUUCCAAAAAGAAAUAAGUUGAAAACUUGUUCAAUAGACUUCUAAGUAAAAGAGGUGUGGUGCAAUGGACAACUUGAGUACCUUAUCUUUCCUUAACCAAAGUAUUCCCCAACUAGUUCAAAAAAUUUCCCAACAAAAUUUCUCAAACAAAAAUUAUGAUAACAAAAACCAAAAAGCCUAAAUCUAAAUAACUACAGAAAAUAAAAUAAAAUAAAAUAAAUGAUGGAAAAAAAAUAUAGGAAAAGAAAAUGUUGAUGAUAAAAAAAUAUAAAAUAGGAACCAAAAUGAUAAAAAUUUUAACCAUGUUUCCCGACAACGACAUCAAAUUUGAUAACGUUGUCAGUGGCGC